GUAAACCCAAGGUUUCCAGGGGAAGGUUCGUCCGCCCUGGGUUAGUCGGGACCUAAGCUGAGGCCGAAAGGCGUAGGUGAUGGACAACAGGUUGAUAGUCCUGUACUACCGAUAACCGUUUGAGAGAAGGGAUGACACAGUAGGAUAAGCUAAGCACACUGUUGGUUAUGUGUGCCCAAGCAUUGAGGCAGUCAAAGUAGGCAAAUCCGCUUUGAUAAUGCUGGGAUGUGAUGGGGAGCGAAAUUUAGUAGCGAA
rnacentral:rRNA from 1 species